rnacentral:rRNA from 1 species
UGAACGCUGGCGGCGUGCCUAAUACAUGCAAGUCGAGCGAACAGACGAGGAGCUUGCUCCUCUGACGUUAGCGGCGGACGGGUGAGUAACACGUGGAUAACCUACCUAUAAGACUGGGAUAACUUCGGGAAACCGGAGCUAAUACCGGAUAAUAUAUUGAACCGCAUGGUUCAAUAGUGAAAGACGGUUUUGUUGUCACUUAUAGAUGGAUCCGCGCCGCAUUAGCUAGUUGGUAAGGUAACGGCUUACCAAGGCAACGAUGCGUAGCCGACCUGAGAGGGUGAUCGGCCACACUGGAACUGAGACACGGUCCAGACUCCUACGGGAGGCAGCAGUAGGGAAUCUUCCGCAAUGGGCGAAAGCCUGACGGAGCAACGCCGCGUGAGUGAUGAAGGUCUUCGGAUCGUAAAACUCUGUUAUUAGGGAAGAACAAAUGUGUAAGUAACUAUGCACGUCUUGACGGUACCUAAUCAGAAAGCCACGGCUAACUACGUG